UAAUGAUGAAAUCCAAUCUGAAUAAAAUGGAAUUACCAUUAGAUGGUUCAGUGGUGAUUUUUGUUUUUCUGAAC
ensembl:snoRNA Small nucleolar RNA SNORD65